ACAUAAAUUUAUUCAAUCAUAUAUAUGAUAUUCAGGAAUAUAUGAAAUUAGUUCUGCAUAUUUUUUGAACAAUAUACCUUUGCCUCUUGCUUAGCCAUGCUAUCUGAAAUAUCUGAUUGGAUUUCAGAUUUUUCCAUUAGUAUUUUAAAUAUUUAUCUUAGUUGAGAGAGUAUUUUUAUGAAAGAGGAUUUUUAUUGUCUUAGGCGUUGCCUGCC
rnacentral:lncRNA from 1 species